UGGGGAAUAUUGCACAAUGGGCGGAAGCCUGAUGCAGCGACGCCGCGUGGGGGAUGAAGGCCUUCGGGUUGUAAACUCCUUUCGACAGGGACGAAGCUUUUGUGACGGUACCUGUAUAAGAAGCGCCGGCUAACUACGUGCCAGCAGCCGCGGUAAUACGUAGGGUGCGAGCGUUGUCCGGAAUUACUGGGCGUAAAGAGCUCGUAGGUGGUUUGUCGCGUCGUCUGUGAAAUUCCGGGGCUUAACUCCGGGCGUGCAGGCGAUACGGGCUGACUUGAGUGCUGUAGGGGAGACUGGAAUUCCUGGUGUAGCGGUGAAAUGCGCAGAUAUCAGGAGGAACACCGAUGGCGAAGGCAGGUCUCUGGGCAGUAACUGACGCUGAGGAGCGAAAGCAUGGGUAGCGAACAGG
rnacentral:rRNA from 1 species